rnacentral:rRNA from 1 species
CAGCAGCCGCGGUAAUACAGAGGGUGCGAGCGUUAAUCGGAUUUACUGGGCGUAAAGCGUGCGUAGGCGGCUUCUUAAGUCGGAUGUGAAAUCCCUGAGCUUAACUUAGGAAUUGCAUUCGAUACUGGGAAGCUAGAGUAUGGGAGAGGAUGGUAGAAUUCCAGGUGUAGCGGUGAAAUGCGUAGAGAUCUGGAGGAAUACCGAUGGCGAAGGCAGCCAUCUGGCCUAAUACUGACGCUGAGGUACGAAAGCAUGGGGAGCAAACAGGAUUAAAUACCCCCGUAGUCCCUGUCUCUUAUAC